rnacentral:rRNA from 1 species
UUCGGAUCGCAGGCUGCAACCCGCCUGCGUGAAGUUGGAAUCGCUAGUAAUCGCGGAUCAGCAUGCCGCGGUGAAUACGUUCCCGGGCCUUGUACACACCGCCCGUCACACCAUGAGAGUCGGGAACACCCGAAGUCCGUAGCCUAACCGCAAGGGGGCGCGGCCGAAGGUGGGUUCGAUAAUUGGGGUGAAGUCGUAACAAGGUACC